GUUAAUCAAUAAAAACAACUAUACAUAUAUAAAUAAUAAAAACUCAUUAUCUAAUAUCGUCAUCAACAGUAAAACUUCUAUCAAAUGCAUAAUCAACAAAAUUGUAGAAAAGAAAGACUCGCUGUCAAAUCCAUCCAAUUCUUCCUACGUCUCUUCCACAAUAUCACCCACAACUGCAUACAAUACCCCAACUCCUUCUUUCCCAUUCAAAACUCAUAUUUUUUGGCCAACUAAACCAAACAUUUAAUUUAAUUCCAACAAAAAAAUGAAAACAAUUAAAAAUAGUAGAUUAUGACCAGAAGAAGAAGAUGACAAAAUCAUGUGUUGUGUUGGCCUUGAGACCAUUCCACAGAGCAGCCCCAAACCAAUGAACAGUGCUGAGAAUGUUGUCUCCUGGGUUGUUAAUGUUGAGGCAUAAUAUUAAUACAUCAACUCUUUCAUUUCAACACCUCUGCCACUCAACAUUCUCGUCUCGUUCUUGGCUCUUCCUAGACACAAACCCAAUUUCCAACAAAAUGUUAAGUUUGCAUGUUUUAUGUAUAAUCCUCAUUUACAUGUUUUUUUUUUAAAAAAAAAUUGUCUUUUUUGUGUGAAUAGUACUCAAUAUAUGUAUUACUAAAAAAUGCAAUGUUUUGUCAACAAAAUGUUUUUUAAGUUGAAUAAUUGAGAGAAAACACAACAUUGAGAAAAGGUUUGAAUCUAAUUAAUAAAAACCUUCUAUAUGGAUUACCUUUUGGUAUACUUCCUUGAUUUGAUUUUGAGAUUAAUCUCAUCAUUCUUUAAAAAAAUUUAUGUGCCUCUUCGUCGUCUUCAUCUUUGUCCAUGUUGCUGGGUAUUUCUCUAAACUAUAAAAAUUAAAAGAUAGGUAUAAAUAUUCUUUUUGUCACUGGUCAAAAAUUGAUAACUUUGAU
rnacentral:lncRNA from 1 species